rnacentral:rRNA from 1 species
UACGUAGGGUGCGAGCGUUGUCCGGAAUUAUUGGGCGUAAAGGGCGCGUAGGCGGCCUGGCAAGUGGAAGGUGAAAUCCCUCGGCUUAACCGAGGAACUGCCUGUCAGACUGGAUGGCUUGAGACCGGGAGAGGUGAGUGGAAUUCCCAGUGUAGCGGUGAAAUGCGUAGAUAUUGGGAGGAACACCAGUGGCGAAGGCGGCUCACUGGACCGGAACUGACGCUGAGGCGCGAAAGCGUGGGGAGCAAACAGG